rnacentral:rRNA from 1 species
UGGGGAAUUUUCCACAAUGGGCGAAAGCCUGAUGGAGCAAUACCGCGUGAAGGAAGAAGGCCUGUGGGUCGUAAACUUCUUUUCUUAAGGAAGAAUCAAUGACGGUACUUAAGGAAUAAGCACCGGCUAACCCUGUGCCAGCAGCCGCGGUAAUACAGGGGGUGCAAGCGUUGUCCGGAAUGAUUGGGCGUAAAGCAUCUGUAGGUCGUUCCUAAAGUCAACUGUUAAAUCCCAGAGCUCAACUUUGGCAAGGCAGUUGAGUACUUAGGAACUUGAGUAUAGUAGGGGUAGAGGGAAUUCCUUGUGAAGCGGUGAAAUGCACAGAGAUAAGGAAGAACACCAGUGGCGAAAGCGCUCUACUAGGCUAUGACUGACACUGAGAGAUGAAAGUUAGGGGAGC